AUUGAACGCUGGUGGCAGGCCUAACACAUGCAAGUCGAACGAGUGGCGGACGGGUGAGUAAUGUCUGGGCAACUGCCUGAUGGAGGGGGAUAACUACUGGAAACGGUAGCUAAUACCGCAUAGCGUAAGAUGUGCCCAGAUGGGCUUAGCUUGGUGGUGGGGUAAAGGCUAACCAAGGCGACGAUCACUAGCUGGUCGGAGAGGAUGACCUGCCACACUGGAACUGAGACACGGUCCAUACUCCUACGGGAGUCAGCAGUGGUGAAUAUUGCACAAUGGGCGCAAGCCUGAGGCAGCCAUGCCGCGUGUAUGAAGAAGGCCUUCGGUUUGUAAAGUACUUUCAGCGGGGAGGCGUUACCCGCAGAAGAAGCACCGGCUAACUCCGUGCCAGCAGCCGCGGUAAUAC
rnacentral:rRNA from 1 species